ACCAAGGGGUUGCAGUACUGGGCUGAUGUUGUGGGUGUGCUGCAGCUACGUGCUCACAUUGUGGUCCGUGUGCCAGUGAAAUAAGUGGGUGCUGCUCUGGUUUUCCAUUAAAGUCAUAUGUGCAAGGUCUGAAAAUCAGUGUUUUGAACUGUGCCUCCACUUCCAGGAGCACUUUCUGUACUCACUCCCAGCGAAAUCAAACUGCCUUUCACCUCAAUUUCGAUGAAGCUGUGACUGUGGUUCUUCUAAAGCCCUGCUGCUGGGUGCGGAGCUGAUGAGGAGUGAAGUGGCCUUUGCUGAGGAUUGGGAGCAGCGCUUUGCAGGAAACAAAAAGUCCCGUGGCACUCGCUGCUGAGAUGCUAUCUGACGUCUCUGCCAGCUCAGGAAGGUAGGACGUGACGUGGUGAGAUGGUGUCCCAGGAAGACCUUUUCCUCCUUGUCCCAGCCAGACCUGCGCAGAGCUGCUUCAACUCUGCCUGCUCUUGUUUCAGUACUUUCCUGGUACUUGGGUUACAUACAGAAAACACCUGACAGUGGCGUGUGGUUAAUUCUGGGGAAAACAAACAAACAAACAUUUGAUUUCUCAUCACUGAUAUCAUUUUCUGACUUUCACAUUCCAGGUAAGGGGAUGUACCCCUUCAUUUUCCUUCCUUUCUGCACUUUCUUCUCAGUUUGUUCUUUUCAGGGUCUGCACUGAUACAUCCUUUCUCAGAAAUUUAGACCUAUUUUAAUUUUAACCUAUAUAUUCACUAUGGCUUCAUUGCUUAGGAGUAUUAAGUCAUUUUGAUUGUUCAAAGUGGCUCUUAAAUUAUAUACAAAAAUUGUAAACUGUUUUUUUUUUGUUUGCUUGUUUUUCUGUGGCCCCCUGCUACAGGGCACCAUCAAAUCUGACAGUGAUCUUUGCUCCUGGAACACAUGGAGCAUGCUUAAAGGAAGAUGUAAGGAGUUUCAAAAAAGCAACAAACAAAAUUUAUGAGCUACACAAAAAUAUAUGUUUUUUUUCAAGGUUACUUAUUUUUUUAUUUUGAAAGAUUUGAAGAGCGAUGAGUUACAUAUCACAUGUGUAUAGUAGUCCAGCUCUGACUACGAGACCACCCAGUUUAGCUGAAUUAAUGGUUUACAAACCCUCAUUCUAUGUAGCAGAAUUUGAAAAUAUUUCCCCAGAAAUAUUUAUACAUGUGCCUGCACCUUGCUAUUGUGUGUGCAUGCUUUGGUAUUAAUGGCAACACCAUGCGGAUAUCAUAUCCUAGAGUCCCGUUCCCAGGUGUGCACUACAGCCAGGCGUUAUGGAAGCUUUUCACUUUGGAGAGAUCUUGCCCAGAUAGUCACCUUCAGCUUUAUUUCAGCCCUGCUUUUCUUCAUCCUGCACUCCAUGGGGUCGUUUCAUGCUCUGCCCGCACUGCACCUCGCAUCCAUCUUCUCCACGUGGGCUCGCUCGGGAGACCCGCUGCCAGUGCCAGCACUCGGCCAGGUCCAGAGGCAGAAUUUCUCCCAGACCUUUACACAAGCAGUGUCACCUGCCUUAAGCAGCGAAGCAGCCCCGGUCGAUCGUCACAUUUCAGGCUGCAUCCCCACAGCAUGCUCCUGACAGCACCCGGCCGUGAGGAACAACCACGUCUGUCUGGAAACCAAGCUGAAGGGCUGCACGCACGCUGGCACUAGCAGUGAUUUUAACCCAUGGAAAGCCAAGGCUUUUCAUACUGGUUUUGCUCACCCAGGCUAUUACUAUACACGAACUACUUUUAUGCUGGUUUUGGUACUGUUUGCAUUGUUUUUAAUGUCACAGCCCUGGAGGCUGGUGGUCCUGCCACGCAAUUUUGGACACAGACUCCGUGCUGGUGCAUUUGGCAGGCAACAGAUUGCAGAGGGAAAGCAGAAGGAUGAAAAAAUGAAGAAAUCAGAGGGUUCCAAUCCUUUUCUGGUGCUCUUAGGCUUGGAUGUUAUCCUAGCAAAAGGAGGGAGCUGUGGGAAAGCCUUUCUCCAUUGGGAAGGAGAGCAGUACAGCACAGGCGCGCUGCUAGGCCUCGAGAGGCAAGGAGCUGAGGUGGUUCACCAGGUAAAUAUCAGCAGAGGAAGCUUUGCUGGAUGCAGAAACCCACUUACAAAAAUUACCACACAGUUUUGACCGACUGGGCCUCUUCCUUGUUGUGCGACAUCGGCGUGAAGAAGAUUUAUCUCUUCAGUGAGAUUUUGUUCCUUUUCUGUCUUCAUUUACGAUGUCCUGUAGCAUUUUGCUCAUUGCUACUGAGAAAUGUUUCCCAGGCAGGGAGAGCCUGUCAGGCAGACGUGUGCUACCCUGGGUUCGUUGAGACCUUUGCUGGUAGCUGACAGGGAAAGGAACAUUAUUCGCAGCUCUCUGAUGUUAAAAAUGUCCCUCUUCAAACCGCAAAAUAAUUAUCAUUAUGAUCAACGUUCACGCAGUGCUUCGUUUCCGAGGACAUCCAUUUUUUGACAGCUCCUUUCUCAACAGUGUGUGCUGACAAGCACGGUUUAAGCUCUCCGCCGCAGUGUCCUCCAAAAAUAUCGGGUACAUCUCGGGACACUUCUCUUACAGCUUAUUUCUACUAACGCGAGGCAGGACGUGGUCCUCGCCCCUGGCUGGCGUUCCUGGGCUGCAUUCAGACAGUGAAUAACCUAAGUGCCAGGGACAGGACCUCAUCGAACCCCGUCCCUGCAGCAUCGUGGGGAGCUCUUCACAGCCUGACAUCGAUGAACGAUCGCUCCCCCCCCCGUGGCCUUGUGGCCGCAGGCAUUGCCUCAGCCCCUUUCAUCGCUCUGGCAGUGCCCCAGGCAGGUUUAGGGCACUUGCUCCUUAACUCACCUUUGUGCUAAUACUCCCUGUCACUAACUGCGAUGCAAAGCAGACAUAAACUAUUCCUGGUAAUACCUCUGACACAAAAACACUCGCUUAAUCCAUCACUUCCAUCCUCACCGUACUCUGUCUCAGAAUUUGAUGCUGAAAGCACUGAGCUGCUGCAUCGCACACACUGCCUUGUUGUAUCUUCCCUCCCUCCUGGCCCGCCGUGUGAAUUGACUUGGGAGAUGUCUGCAGGCAGCAACAAAGACUUUUCCACACCUCGAGACAAAUUCCUGUUCCUACAAAGAGCUGGCUCAUGCGGAGCCGGCUGCCAGGGGGCUCGUUUUCGGGGUGGCAGUCUCACAGAUAGCCAAAGUCCUUGCAAACAUCGUGAAAGCAGGCAAAGUAAUUAAAAGUCGUGAAGAUGUUAUGGCUGUCAUUGUGGGUAUUGUGCUAUUUGACUGCUGCCUUCAGUCACUGCGCAGAAUGCGUAAAUUUUCCAGCACAUCCUAAAAUAAUUAAUGUUA